rnacentral:lncRNA from 10 species
ACUGAGUCUUUCCAUGAAUGAGCCAGACUUGAUCUAUUUAUUCAUCUGUUGAUUGAUUCUCUCUUUUUUUUUUUUUUGAGACAAGAUCUCUCUCUGUCACCUCUUCUGGAAUGUAGUGGCACGAUCACAGUUCCCUGUAGCCUUGAACUUCUGGGCUCCAGAGAUCCUCCUGCCUCAGCCUCCUGAGUAAAUAGGACUACAGGCUUUAUUCUUAGGCUCAGCGUGAUGCCCCUAGUAACCUCAGGAUGACAUUUUCUCGGCACCCAGCCUCAGGAAAGAGAGAUUCCACUUCUCCAAUGGGUCAAACAACAGUCGUAGAACUGAGCCUUAUGGACAUCGUCUGUCUAACUUAGACCACUGUCCUUCUUGGAGCCAAUCACUGUGACUGGUGAAAUGAGUAUGCCUGAUUUUGACAAGCACACAAAAGAGGGCUCUAAAAAGAGGCUCUUUUGGAAACUGUCUAGACGAAGUGUCAGGACCAGGACAUGUGACUAAACUUCGACCAACCAGAUGCUACAGAGAAGCAGCAGCGAUUUAGAAUUUAUUCCACCAAUGCCAAUGGUAGAAGUGGCAUUCAAUAUCCAGUCAUGGCAGUAGUGGUGCCAGUGAUGGUGUCCAUAAUUCAGUCAAGUUGGUGCGGCUUGACGUACGGUGAUAGCAGUGGCAGCAGGAACAGCAUCCUGCUCCAACUUCAGAUUACUUAAGCCUCCCACAUAGCUUUGGUUUACAAAGUUUCCUCAAAGAUAGUAUAAGUGAUAGAAAUGAAAAUACUAAGAUGGCUCACACCCUCAUCUUUGGCCCCUCUCUCCUACCCUCCUGAAGUCUAGAAGAUAACUUGCAGGUAUUUUAGCAAUGCAUGGCUAAUGGUAUACUUAGGUGCCUGAAGAAAUCCUGCUUCUGCUUUCCCUUUGGUUCUCUGGCUCAGAAGACUGCCAUGGUUUGGGGUACAAUGUAAUAUGGUAAAAGUUUCCCUUAUUUUUCAACACGGAAAUUAAUUAUACAUAACCACUCUGGAACUGAAGUUCAGCUUCUGGUCACAUUGCCUUUUCCUGAUAAGCUCCAACCCAGCUGCACCUGCUGCUGGCAUUUUCACAGUGAUGGCCAUGAUGGGAGCCUAUUCUUUACUGCCACUUAGCUCAAUGUAGCUAAUGUUGAAAGGAAAAUAAUUCACACUACUGUAUUUUGUAAUGCAGCAUGAUGGAGAGGUGUAGCUAUGACCAGAUAUUCACCAGCCUAGAAUUAGCUUUGAGGAGAGUAUUUCUAGGUAGUAGAUGCAGCUCUGCAUGUCCAACUACCUGCUCUAGAACUCUGCUGCAAUAACGUAAACUACCAAAUUCUUUCGGUAGCUCCAACCUGGAGACAAGGCGACCCAAAGAGUAGGAAUAAAACAAGUUAACACUAAAUGAGGAAUCAGAAGAUGGGUUUAGCACUGACUGUCUCUGGAUGGCUCCAUGAGCUGGCUGAAGCUAUUGAACUAUCUGGGUACUGGUUUAAUCAGAUAUCAAUGAUAGAAAUAUGAAUAGUGUCUACUUUAUAGGCUUUAUAGUCUCUGUUCCUUGAGUACUGAACGCUUGUCUUUUUUUUGUUGUGAAUUUUAAAUAAUUAAAUUUAUUUCUUCAACAAACCCUUGUAUAGCAGUUUACUUCAUGCCAUGUUCUUUUCUAAGCCCAGUGUAAAUAUUAACUCAUUUAAUACUCAUAACAUCCCUAUGAGAUGGAAACUAUUGUUUUUCUCACUUAUAAGUGAAGAAACUGAGGCACAGAGAAGUUAAAUAACUUACCC